rnacentral:rRNA from 1 species
UACGUAGGGUGCGAGCGUUAAUCGGAAUUACUGGGCGUAAAGCGUGCGCAGGCGGUGAUGUAAGACCGAUGUGAAAUCCCCGGGCUUAACCUGGGAACUGCAUUGGUGACUGCAUCGCUCGAGUAUGGCAGAGGGGGGUAGAAUUCCACGUGUAGCAGUGAAAUGCGUAGAGAUGCGGAGGAACACCGGUGGCGAAGGCGGCCUGCUGGGCUAUGGCUGACACUGAGGCGCGACAGCGUGGGGAGCAAACAGG